UACCAGCACCCCGAGUGGUCGGGACGUUUUAUUGGGCCUAAAGCAUCCGUAGCCGGUCAUGCAAGUCCUCCGUUAAAUCCAGCCGCUCAACGGUUGGGCUGCGGAGGAUACUACGUGGCUAGGAGGCGGGAGAGGCAAGCGGUACUCAGUGGGUAGGGGUAAAAUCCUUUGAUCCAUUGAAGACCACCAGUGGCGAAGGCGGCUUGCCAGAACGCGCUCGACGGUGAGGGAUGAAAGCUGGGGGAGCAAACCGG
rnacentral:rRNA from 1 species